AACAUUUUCUUUUCUUUCUCUCUCCAGUGUCAAUGUUUUCACGUGUCUCUCACUUUCUUCGUUCUGUUCUUUUCUGUCCUCAUUCCUUUCACUCUGUUUGUUCCCUAACAAAAAACCACAAUUGAGUUUUGUUCUUUCCCAUUUUAGGGUUGUUCUCAGGAGGUAGUUGAUGUUUCAUUUUGGGGUUGUCUCCGCGUAGAAAAUAAAUAAAUAAAUAAUUGACUUUGGGUUGAUGCAGCAUAAGCUUAAACCUUUCUAAGGUUCAAAUAAUGGAAGGACAGAACCAAUUCAAUUCUUCUUCUUCUUCUUCUUCGUCUUCUUUCACUUCUGAACUCUUUGGAUCCGACCAAUCCCAACGUCCAUCUUCUAAUUCUGGAAUCUUAGCUUCUAUAUUCCCUCCAUCGUCUAAGGUGUUAGGGAGAGAAUCUCGGCAUUUUCAAGUGACCGAAAAAACCGCAACCCCAAAAACGGUUAUACCUGAUGAUGUACACAACUACAAGAGCAAUGAUGGUGAAACUGGUAAGGAUAUGAUGAGUUCCAUGUAUGAGGAACAAAGAGUUCAACCUUGCCACCUUAGCUCAUCAAUCUAUUAUGGUGGCCAGGACAUAUAUUCGCAUCCUCAAAGUACACAAAACUCCGGAUUGAACUCUUUGUACAAGAAGGAUGGGGGAGAAGAUGACUCUGGAAGUGCUUCAAGAGGAAACUGGUGGCAAGGAUCUCUCUAUUAUUAGGAGCAUUGCUAAGGAUUAAGGAAUAUACUCCUAAAGCUCUUCCUUGAGAACCCUAGCCACCAUAGCGCCACCUGGUUCGUCGUGGUCGAAGGCCCUUUCCUUGUUCGCGCAACGCCAGCGUCUCCAGGUCAUGCUCCUUAGAUCUUUGCCCGUCGUCCGUCCAUUAUGUUCGUCGCCAGCUCCUUCAAUGGCAAAUGUCACAAUAGAGAAGAGCGGGUUUGGAUCACACAAUGAUGGGUUGAGAUGUUAUAGUGGCACCACACAAUGCCAAACGGAGUAUGCAGGAAGAGGAGUUUUCUAUUCGAGUGAAAGAGGAGGGAAAGGGGUUAGGAGGAUUGCUUAGCAGAAUUUAAUUUCUACCCUUCCAUAUAUAUAUAUAUAUAUAUGUAUGGUGAGUGUUGGGGCCAGGGCAAAUUGUUUUCUCCAGCCAAAGAACAGAAUCACAUAAUCAGUAUGAACCUGUAAAUAAAGAAUUGAAUAAUGCAUCAUCUCAAUAAUGUAUAAGUUGUAUGCUAUAUAUAUGUAGCUAACUAAAGUUUUGAUGAUUUUAGAUCAAAUGCGGGAAACUCACACUUUACUGGUUUUUCCUUUACCUUGUAUUUCAGAUGUCUUGAACUGAUGAAUCAUCAGCUUGUAUA